GUGGGGUUGUGGCUCAGUGGUAGAGUGCUCACCUAGCACUUGUGAGGCCCUGGGUUCGAUCCUCAGCACCACA
rnacentral:tRNA from 1 species